rnacentral:misc_RNA from 1 species
AAGUCGUAAGAAGGUUGCCGUAGGUGAACCUGCGGAAGGAUCAUUAACACGACCGGGUCACUGGGCGCAAGCCCCCCUAUAACAAACGCUGCCAAUCGCGGCCGCGAUAAUACGCAGUCGACAAAAACCGAACAACUGUUAACAAUGGAUAUCUUGGUUCUC